GACGAACGCUGGCGGCGUGCUUAACACAUGCCAGUCGAACGGAAAGGCCCUGCUUUUGUGGGGUGCUCGAGUGGCGAACGGGUGAGUAACACGUGAGUAACCUGCCCUUGACUUUGGGAUAACUUCAGGAAACUGGGGCUAAUACCGGAUAGGAGCUCCUGCUGCAUGGUGGGGGUUGGAAAGUUUCGGCGGUUGGGGAUGGACUCGCGGCUUAUCAGCUUGUUGGUGGGGUAGUGGCUUACCAAGGCUUUGACGGGUAGCCGGCCUGAGAGGGUGACCGGCCACAUUGGGCCUGAGAUACGGCCCAGACUCCUACGGGAGGCAGCAGUGGGGAAUAUUGCACAAUGGGCGGAAGCCUGAUGCAGCAGCGCCGCGUGCGGGAUGACGGCCUUCGGGUUGUAAACCGCUUUCGCCUGUGACGAAGCGUGAGUGACGGUAAUGGGUAAAGAAGCACCGGCUAACUACGUG
rnacentral:rRNA from 1 species